UCAAUAAGCGGAGGAAAAGAAACCAACAGGGAUUGCCCCAGUAACGGCGAGUGAAGCGGCAACAGCUCAAAUUUGAAAUCUGGCCUCACGGUCCGAGUUGUAAUUUGUAGAGGAUGUUUCGGGUACCGCCUCGGUGUAAAUUUCUUGGAACAGAAUGUCAGAGAGGGUGAGAAUCCCGUCUUCGACCGCGGUAGGGCCCAUGUGAAACUCCUUCGACGAGUCGAGUUGUUUGGGAAUGCAGCUCAAAAUGGGUGGUAAAUUUCAUCUAAAGCUAAAUAUUGGCCAGAGACCGAUAGCGCACAAGUAGAGUGAUCGAAAGAUGAAAAGCACUUUGAAAAGAGAGUUAAACAGUAUGUGAAAUUGUUGAAAGGGAAGCGCUGGCAACCAGACUCGAGCGCGGUGGUUCCCCCUGGCUUCUGCCCGGGUUAUUCCACCGUGACCGGGCCAUCAUCAGUUUUGGGGGUCCGUCAAAGGCGCCGGGAAUGUAUUCACUCCUUCCGGGGUUGACUUAUAGCCCGGCGUGUCAUGCGGCCUCCCCGGACUGAAGAACGCGCCUCGGCGAAGAUGAUUGCUUAAUGGUUGUCAGCCACCCUUUGAACCCCGACCAAGAGAAUCCUAGUGCGGCGCCUGCAAGUCAAA
rnacentral:rRNA from 1 species